AGUGAACGCUGGCGGCAGGCCUAACACAUGCAAGUCGAGCGGCAGCGGGUUCCCGCGAGGGGAUGCCGGCGAGCGGCGGACGGGUGAGGAACACAUCGGAAUCUGCCUGGUUGUGGGGGAUAACGUAGGGAAACUUACGCUAAUACCGCAUGAGACCCUGAGUCGACGGACUGGGGGUGAAAGUGAGGGACCUUCGGGCCUCACGCGACCAGAUGAGCCGAUGUCGGAUUAGCUAGUUGGCGGGGUAACGGCCCGCCAAGGCGACGAUCCGUAGCUGGUCUGAGAGGAUGAUCAGCCACACUGGGACUGAGACACGGCCCAGACUCCUACGGGAGGCAGCAGUGGGGAAUCUUGGACAAUGGGCGCAAGCCUGAUCC
rnacentral:rRNA from 1 species